rnacentral:rRNA from 1 species
GUAGGGUGCGAGCGUUAAUCGGAAUUACUGGGCGUAAAGGGUGCGCAGGCGGUGGCUCAAGCCAGGCGUGAAAUCCCCGGGCUUAACCUGGGAAUGGCGUUUGGGACUGGGCUGCUAGAGUGUGGCAGAGGGAGGUGGAAUUCCACGUGUAGCAGUGAAAUGCGUAGAGAUGUGGAGGAACACCGAUGGCGAAGGCAGCCUCCUGGGCCAGCACUGACGCUCAUGCACGAAAGCGUGGGGAGCAAACAGGAUUAGAUACCCUGGUAGUCCACGCCCUAAACGAUGUCAACUGGUUGUUGGGGAAGGAAACUUCCUUAGUAACGAAGCUAACGCGUGAAGUUGACCGCCUGGGGAGUACGGCCGCAAGGUUA